rnacentral:rRNA from 1 species
GAUCAUGGCUCAGGAUGAACGCUGGCGGCGUGCUUAACACAUGCAAGUCGAGCGAAGCAGUUGAAAGAUUCUUCGGAUGAUUUUUAAUUGACUGAGCGGCGGACGGGUGAGUAACGCGUGGGUGACCUGCCCCAUACCGGGGGGAUAACAGCUGGAAACGGCUGCUAAUACCGCAUAAGCGCACAGAGCUGCAUGGCUCAGUGUGAAAAACUCCGGUGGUAUGGGAUGGGCCCG